rnacentral:rRNA from 1 species
UACGUAGGGUGCGAGCGUUGUCCGGAUUUAUUGGGCGUAAAGAGCUCGUAGGCGGUUUGUCGCGUCGGCUGUGAAAACUUGAGGCUUAACCUCAAGCUUGCAGUCGAUACGGGCAGACUUGAGUUCGGUAGGGGAGACUGGAAUUCCUGGUGUAGCGGUGAAAUGCGCAGAUAUCAGGAGGAACACCGGUGGCGAAGGCGGUUCUCUGGGCAUUACCUGACGCUGAGGAGCGAAAGUGUGGGGAGCAAACAGG